UUUUCUUUUACCUAUGUGCGUUAAAACGAAAGUAGUAUUUACACUUGGGCGUCAAUUAAGACGAUAAAAUGGAAUCAUUAGCCAACCCAGACCCACCAGAAUCAGCUCAAGAGCACAUUCAAAUGUGUGAAAAGCACUUUUUAAGAAAAGACAUAACUUGUGAUGACUUUGAUUUAGAUGAUAUCUGUUUUACAGAAGCAGAUUCAUUUCAGUAUGAAGAUAAACCAAUUGAUGUUAUAGAGGCAGUCAAUGAGGAUAGAUGUUUUGCUAAAAAAUGUAAUGCAGGUAACCUCGAACUAGGUACAGCAAAAUAAAUGAAAAAGAAAGCAGUAUACGCACAAGAGUAAAAUAUGCAUGCAUAUCUGACAAUGGUGAAUUGUAUAUAACAGAUCCUGAAAACAAAUGCAUGAAAUUUGACACUUUGUCUACCUCAGGAUCAGUCUCUACAUCAUUUACAGUUAGUACAGAUCCUCUCACACCAGUGGGAAUAUGUAAAUCAAAAGAAGGUGAAUUGCUAGUAACGCUAAGUGAUAUUGAGACAGAAACAUAUCAACCAGACUCGCAUAGCAGACGUCUGGUCAGACACGUGACACUGACCGGUGAUGUUAUCCGUGAGUACGAAUACCAGGAAGACGGUCAAACCAGGCUGUUUAUUCAACCAUACAAAGUCAAACAGAAUGGUAAUGCUGACAUAUGCGUUAUAAACAGAACACAUGAUGAUACUAGUGAACUAGUAGUUCUAUCCUUCUCUGGAAAGUUGAAGUCUGCCUACCGUGGACAGAAACCAAAAUAGAAAUGUUUACUAUCUGAUGUAGUGUGCGAUGCACACUGCAACAUCAUUGUUAGUGACUUCUUUUACAAUGCUAUCCAUCUUUUAAGUAAAAAAGGAGAAUUUAUUAAGUACCUAUUGACAGACAACGAUGUAUCAAACCCAUUAUCUUUGUCUCUGUACAAAUCCACACUGUGGAUAGGUGACUUCCACGGACUUAUCUAAGUUUUUUUUAAUCCAAAGAAUAUUCAAUAAUACUAAAUGAUGGUGUGUUGCAAAUAAACUGAGUGAAAAUAGACCUACAAAACUGUUUUUACGUUACAUUGACACACUUGAGAUGACUUACAGUAAUUAUCGCUUUUCGCAUCUAUUUAAUAUUCCUUUUAAUUAAAUUCAGUAAAGCUUUAUAUCUUUA
rnacentral:misc_RNA from 1 species